UUUUAAUUGACAUUUAGGUCAAAAGUCAAUUCUUGGAGUGAAUUGACUGAAAUGCCCUUCAUUGGGUUAUAGUCUAUCUCUUUCGAUAAUGACAUUUAAGUCCAUAACCCGAUGAUCAUUUUGAUUUCCAUACUGCUUAUUUCACUUUAUGUUCAUUUCAUUUUUUGUCCUCAAACUGGCUUUAAAUAGUACUAUUCAUGGACUGAAAAUAGCACUGUCCAGAGUUCAGAAGUUUAGGACGUUACAGGUUAUCUGAUUAGGUUGAAAAUAGAUCAAGCAACUUGCUUGCCUUGUUUAAGGUCGUACAAGGGGGACUUUCUCUCCUUGUCCUACAUUAUCUUUAUAAAUUAUGCACAUAUCCCUUCCCAAUCUGAAUAGGAAAUCACAAUGCUCACCCUGUCAGCUAGAGUUGUCCACUCAAUUGGCCAGCUAGUAUCCAAUUCAAAGUCAAUGAUAACAAAUGCUUUUAGCAUGAAACACUAGAUGUGGCUAUGAUUGCUUUAGCUAAUGAGUACGAUCCACAAUUAAUCAAAUUAGAAGCAUUGGUUCCAUUGAAAAAGGG
rnacentral:misc_RNA from 1 species